GAGAACGGACACCCCCUCUUGAAAAACCCUAGCGCCGCCUUCUCCCUCCUCUUCUCUCUCACACGCCAUACUCAUGGAUUCGCCUCACCAUCUGCAGUGUCGUUUUUGAGAUUUGAAGUCCAGGGUAGCUAAAAACACAAGAGCAACAGUUGAAGAUACUCCAAAAUGCUUAAAACAUGCUAGUUUAGAUCUGUAGCUUCAAAGAGCUAUUCGGUUUUCUUUGAUUUCUUGGUCAAUCUCUGGGCUUUAGAGUGAUUUAACUCUCAAAUUGCAGCCGAGUGCUGCUGAUUCACUUCAUUACUGAGCUCCGAAUCUGCUGAUUUUCUAUAGCCCGUAUUUGGCAAAUUCUGAUCAUUUCUCUGCAUCCUAGGUACAUUACCUCAAACCUGUAAUUUCUCUUUGAUUGAUGAUGAAUUUCUAAACUUGUUUCUAGCUCAUUUGUUACAAUUUGUUGAAUCUGUUGCCUCAAUUUAGUUUGAGCAUAAGUGGAUUAUCCACAAGUUCAGUAGAGAUGUGAUACUUGUUUAUUGGAAUCUGAUCUCAUGACAAUUUUGUGAGUUUGAUUCAAAUGGGCGUUGCAACGUUUGGUUUAGCUAAUACCUAAAACAGGCUAUAGAUCUAAACAAUAAUCGUGAAUUAAGUUCUAUGAUUUGUUGAACAAUCUGUGAAUAUCAAAUGUUAUUUUUGAGGUGUAGUUGAUGAUAUGUGCACCCUCUCUAAAUUUAGCUGUUAAACCUCGGUCUUGUGACUUUGUUCAUUUUGGAAUAAUAUGCACUAGAUUCUGAUUUGCCGGAAUAAUCCAAUCCUGGUAAAUCGAGAAGCUAUUUGGACGAAAUGAAAACUAUAUAGCCUGGAGAUGUGUAUGUGUUUUCUAUGGAGAAUGUGUAAUGGAAGCAUAAAUCGAUAAGAGGGGUUGCUCUGAUGGUAAGCAACCUCCACUUCCAACCAAGAGGUUGUGAGUUCGAGUCACCCCAAGAGCAAGGUGGGGAGUUCUUGGAGGGAAGGAUGCCGAGGGUCUAUUGGAAACAGCCUCUCUACCUCAUGGUAGGUGUAAGGUCUGCGUACACACUACCCUCCCCAGACCCCACUAGUGGGAUUAUACUGAAUUGUUGUUGUUGUUGUAGAUUAGUGUAUCUUGUAAUUUAUGAAGCUAAUUGUCAGAUUCCUUUGAUUAUGUAUGGUAUAGAAUCACUUGAUCAUAGAAUGUGUUUGUCUGGCACUGAUGGCUGAAUUUUAAUAUCAUUAUGCCAUUCUAACCAUGUAGGAUUAAACAAUUUUCAAAAAGGGGAAGUGCAACUAAGCCAAUAGACAUAACUGAUGUCCCGACGUAGCUUCAAUGAGCAAUUUAGAUCAGUCACGUAACUUUUCGUUAAAUCCUUUUGAUCUCACCUAUUAAGCCCAUCAUCUGGCAAUCCCAUUUGAUCAAAUUAUAAGCAGUUCCUCGGCAAUAUUUGAGCCUGC
rnacentral:lncRNA from 1 species